AGUGAGCGCUGGCGGUAGGCCUAACACAUGCAAGUCGAACGGCAGCACAGUAAGAGCUUGCUCUUACGGGUGGCGAGUGGCGGACGGGUGAGGAAUACAUCGGAAUCUACUUUUUCGUGGGGGAUAACGUAGGGAAACUUACGCUAAUACCGCAUACGACCUACGGGUGAAAGCAGGGGAUCUUCGGACCUUGCGCGAUUGAAUGAGCCGAUGUCGGAUUAGCUAGUAGGUGGGGUAACGGCUCACCUAGGCGACGAUCCCUAGCUGGUCUGAGAGGAUGACCAGCCACACUGGAACUGAGACACGGUCCAGACUCCUACGGGAGGCAGCAGUGGGGAAUAUUGCACAAUGGGCGCAAGCCUGAUGCAGCCAUGCCGCGUGUAUGAAGAAGGCCUUCGGGUUGUAAAGUACUUUCAGCGGGGAGGAAGGGAGUAAAGUUAAUACCUUGGCUCAUUGACGUUACCCGCAGAAGAAGCACCGGCUAACUCCGUG
rnacentral:rRNA from 1 species